rnacentral:snRNA from 1 species
GAACUUACCUGGCAGGGGAGACACCACGAUCAGGCAGGUGGUUUUCCCAGGGUGAGGCUCAUCCCUUGCACUCCGGGUGUGCUGACCCCUGUGAUUUCCCUGAAUGGGGAAACCCAACUGCAUAAUUUGUGUGUUCACGCUCUCCCCUGAUAAAAAGCAGCUGCGUG